rnacentral:misc_RNA from 1 species
GUAAUUAUUAAGUUUUUCAGACGCCGAUUCAAUAUUAAAAAAAGGUUAUAGAAUUGUCCAGCCGGCAGGCAAGCCUGCCGAGGAAACGUGGGUACGCAAAAGACAAGGGUGGAGAAAAGAGGCCAGCUGUUCAUCAGCGGUUAAGCUAUACAGACUAACAGCCUCUUUAACAGUAGUAAACUACUGAGUGUAAUGAUCCUUCCGCAGGUUCACCUACGGAAA